ACAGCCCAAGUACGAGCGGACGGCAGGAUGGGUGGAGGCAGCAAUGCAAUGGAGUGAGGAGAGGAAGUGUGGACUAUGGAAAUGAUGUUAGACAAAAAGCAAAUUCAAGCAAUAUUCUUAUUUGAGUUCGAAAUGGGUCAUAAAGACAACUCACAACAUCAACAAUGCAUUUGGUCUGAGAACUGCUAAUGAAUGUACAGUGCAAUGGUGGUUCAAGAAGUUUUGCCAAGGAGAUGAGAGCCUUGAAGAUGAGGAGCGUAGUGGCUGGCCAUUGGAAAGUGACAACGACCAUUUGAGAGUAGUCAUUGAAGCUGAUCCUCUUACAAGUACAAGAGAAGUUGCCCAAGAACUCAGUGUCAAUCAUUCUAUAGUGUUCAGCAUUUGAAGCAAAUUGGAAAGGUGAAAAAGGUCAAUAAGUGGGUGCCUCAUGAGCUGACUGAAAAUACAAAAAUCAUCUUUUUGAAGUGUCAUCUUCCAUUGUUCUAUGCAACAACAACAAACUAUUUCUCGAUCAGAUUGUGAUAUGCAACGAAAAGUGGAUUUUAUAUGACAACUGGCAAUGACCAGCUCAGUGGCUGGCCUGAGAAGAAGUUCCAAAGCACUUCCCAAAGCCAAGCUUGCACCAAAAAAAGGUCAUGGCCACUGUUUGGUGGUCUGUUGCUGGUCUGAUCCACUACAGCUUUCUGAAUCUCACUGCAACUGUUACAUCUGAGAAGUAUGCUCAGCAAAUCAAUGAGAUGCACUGAAAACUGCAAUGCCUGCAGCUAGCACUGGUCAACAAAAAGGGCCCAAUUCUUUUCCACAACGCCUGACUGCACAUCACACAACCAGUGCAUCAGAAGUUGAAUGAAUUGGGCCAUGAAGUUUUGCCUCAACCGCCACAUUCAUCUGACCUCUGCCAACCAACUACUACUUCCUCAAGCAUCUCAACAACUUUUUGCAGGGAAAAUGCUUCCACAACCAGCAGGAUGCAGAAAAUGCUUUUCAAGAGUUCAUUGAAUCCUGAAGCACGGAUUUCUAUACUACAGUAAUGAAAAAAUGUAUUUCUCAUUGGCAAAAAUGUGUGGAUUGUAAUGGUUCCUAUUCUGAUUAAUAAAGAUGUGUUUAAGCCUCGUUAUAAUGAUUUAAAAUUCAAUUACUUUUGCACCAAACUAAGACAGGAACUUUGAGAUCUCUAAUCUUAUUACACUUUUCCGUAUUAUUCUCUUACAAUGUUUAAAAUCAAAACAUAUUUGGUCAUUUGACCUAGAGAAAGAGAAUUCAUCAUGUCUUCUUGCGAAUAACUCCCUGAGAGGACACAGCCCAUACCUUGUCUCCUGCAGCGCCGCAUAGU
rnacentral:lncRNA from 1 species